rnacentral:SRP_RNA from 14 species
CCUGUCAGGGUCGGACUGCAGCAGCCCC